rnacentral:rRNA from 1 species
GGUUGACCUCGGAUCAGGUAGGGAUCACCCGUUC